UGCCUAAUACAUGCAGUCGAGCGAAUGGAUUAAGAGUUUGUUCUUAUAUAUUUUAGCGGCGGAGGGGUGAGUAACACGUGGGUAACCUGCCCAUAACACUGGGAUAACUCCGGGAAACCGGGGCUAAUACCGGAUAACAUUUUGAACCGCAGGGUUCGAAAUUGAAAGGCGGCUUCCGCUGUCAUUUAUGGAUGGACCCGCGUCGCAAUAUCUAUUUGGUGAGGUAACGGCUCACCAGGGCAACGAUGCGUACCCCACCUGAGAGGGUGAUCGGCCACACUGGGACUGAGACACGGCCCACACUCCUACGGGAGGCAGCAGUAGGGAAUCUUCCGCAGUGGACGAAAGUCUGACAGAGCAACGCCGCGUGAGUGAUGAAGGCUUUCAGGUCGUAAAACUCUUUUGUUAGGGAAGAACAAGUGCUAGUUGAAUAAGCUGGCACCUUGACGGUACCUAACCAGAACGCCACGGCUAACUACGUGCCAGCAGCCGCGGUAAUACGUAGGUGGCAAGCGUUAUCCGGAAUUAUUGGGCGUAGAGCGCGCGCAGGUGGUUUCUUAAGUCUGAUGUGAAAGCCCACGGCUCAACCGUGGAGGGUCAUUGGAAACUGGGAGACUUGAGUGCAGAAGAGGAAAGUGGAAUUCCAUGUGUAGCGAUGAAAUGCGUAGAGAUAUGGAGGAACACCAGUGGCGAAGGCGACUUUCUGGUCUGUAACUGACACUGAGGCGCGAAAGCGUGGGGAGCAAACAGGAUUAGAUACCCUGGUAGUCCACGCCGUAAACGAUGAGUGCUAGUGUUAGAGGGUUUCCGCCCUUUACUGCUGAAGUUAACGCAUUAAGCACUCCGCCUGGGGAGUACGGCCGCACUGCUGAUACUCAGAGUAAAUGACGGGCGCCCGCACCAGCGGUGCAGCAUGUGUUUUA
rnacentral:rRNA from 1 species